GACGAACGCUGGCGGCGUGCCUAAUACAUGCAAGUCGAACGCAGUGGGGACGGGUGAGUAACACGUGGGUAACCGCCCAUCAGAGGGGAUAAAACUUGGCAACAGGUGCUAAACCGAUACUGAUGGAUGGACCCGCUGGGCAUUAGCUAGUUGGUGCGGGAACGGCUCACCAAGGCCACGAUGCAUCGCCGGCCUGGGAGUGUGACCGGCCAAACGGGAACUGAGACACGGCCCAGACUCCUACGGGAGGCAGCAGUAGGGAAUCUUCGGCAAUGGACUAAAGUCUGACCGAGCAACGCCGCGUGAGUGAAGAAGGUUUUCGGAUCGUAAAACUCUGUUGUUAGAGAAGCGGUAUCUAACCAGAAAGCCACGGCUAACUACGUGCCAGCAGCCGCGGUAAUAC
rnacentral:rRNA from 1 species